rnacentral:lncRNA from 1 species
CACUGGUAAAGAAGUGUCUCUGAGGUAAAGAAAUGUCUCAGUGGUAAAGAAGUGUCUCUGAGGUAAAGAAGUGUCUCAGUGGUAAAGAAGUGUCUCUGAAGUAAAGAAGUGUCUCUGAGGUAAAGAAGUGUCUCUGAAGUAAAGAAGUGUCUCUGAGGUAAAGAAGUGUCUCUGAGGUAAAGAAGUGUCUCUGAGGUAAAGAAGUGUCUCUGAGGUAAAGAAGUGUCUCUGAAGUAAAGAAGUGUCUCUGAGGUAAAGAAGUGUCUCAGUGGUAAAGAAGUGUCUCAGUGGUAAAGAAGUGUCUCUGAAGUAAAGAAGUGUCUCUGAAGUAAAGAAGUGUCUCUGAGGUAAAGAAGUGUCUCAGUGGUAAAGAAGUGUCUCAGUGGUAAAGAAGUGUCUCUGAAGUAAAGAAGUGUCUCUGAAGUAAAGAAGUGUCUCUGAGGUAAAGAAGUGUCUCUCGGUGGUAAAGAAGUGUCUCUCGUGGUUGAAGAAGAGUCGUUCGGUGGGUAAAGAAGUGUCUCAGUGGUAAAGAAGUGUUUCUGAUAAAGAAGUGUCUUUAGUGGUUGAAGAAGUGUUGUUGAGAAAGUAGUUAUUUCUAGACUAAUUAGAGACUGAUAGACAUCGGGUAUAACAGAAAAGUUGAGAUAAGAGUGAUAGAGACACCGAGAGAGAGAGAGAGAGAGAGAGAUAGUAAAAGAGGGAAAGAGAGAGAGAGAGACACCGAGAGAGAGAGAGAGAGAGAGACACCGAGAGAAGGAGACAUCGAGAGAGAGAGGACAGAAAGAGAGACAGUGUGUGUGUGUGUGUGUGCACAAGUACAGUGAAAGGCCUUUCUUGUAUGCUCUAAACCCACAACGUACUAAUCAAUAUCAAUGUAGUACUAAAAUUAACAUUGUAGAACAAAAACACAUGAGAUAUAAAACUAAUAAAUAAUAAGAACAGGAGAAAGUAAGGUGACCAUAUUCAGGGUCAGUACCAUAUUAACAAUGGACAGGGUCAGUACCAUAUUAACAAUGGACAGGGUCAGUACCAUAUUAACAAUGUACAGGGUCAGUACCAUAUUAACAAUGUACAGGGAUACUGGAGGGAUGGAGGUAGAUAUGUAUAGGGGGAAGGGGACAAUAUACAGGAUCAGUACCAUAUUAACAAUGUACAGGGAUACUGGAGUGAUGGAGGUAGAUAUGUAUAGGGGAAGGGGA